rnacentral:rRNA from 1 species
GACGAACGCUGGCGGCGUGCUUAACACAUGCAAGUCGAACGGAAAGGCCCUGCUUUUGUGGGGUGCUCGAGUGGCGAACGGGUGAGUAACACGUGAGUAACCUGCCCUUGACUUUGGGAUAACUUCAGGAAACUGGGGCUAAUACCGGAUAGGAGCUCCUGCUGCAUGGUGGGGGUUGGAGAGUUUCGGCGGUUGGGGAUGGACUCGCGGCUUAUCAGCUUGUUGGUGGGGUAGUGGCUUACCAAGGCUUUGACGGGUAGCCGGCCUGAGAGGGUGACCGGCGACAUUGGGACUGAGAUACGGCCCAGAAUCCUACGGGAGGCAGCAGUGGGGAAUAUUGCACAAUGGGCGGAAGCCUGAUGCAGCAACGCCGCGUGCGGGAUGACGGCCUUCGGGUUGUAAACCGCUUUCGCCUGUGACGAAGCGUGAGUGACGGUAAUGGGUAAAGAAGCACCGGCUAACUACGUG